UUUUGAAACUGAUGGCUUCAGACACGAGAGAAGAGCUUUCUCUGAAGCUAGAGAUGCUGGCUGCCUGCGAAGGAAGGGCCUUAUUACUGGGACAAGAAAAACAUAAGAAUCAACUGCUCCUAAGCUCUCACUGCUGGCAGCAAUAAAGGUGACAGAUGACCUCCUUACCCAUUGGCUAGGGUAGCACAACAAAUGGAAAGAACGGUCUAUCAUUUCAAGUAGGACCCGCUUGCGCAGAAAGCCACUUUUGCAGAGAAUGGCCAAGCAAUCUAGUGCAUUGACAAUUACAGCCUCAGUUGUAUCAGUCAAUGCCUGCUCAAUGUAUGGGAGUAGAUAUUCUUCAACACUUCUUUGUCCAACGAAAAAACAGACAUAUAUGAUUUGCCCAUAAAAUACUGCCCUGAGCUGCUCAUCUCUAUCAUUUAGAAAAGCAGGGAGAAUGGGCAACAGGAAAUCAUUACUUUGCCUCUGCCCAAAAAACCAACAAAGGUUACCAAUAUCUUGCAAUAGUGCUCUCCUGAUGUUUGGAGUUUGCUUUGGGCCCAUCACGAGUUCUUGAAUAACCUCAGCAACUGACUUCCUUAAUUGACCAAGUUGUGUAUCACUGUUUAGGCUCUGUGGCCGUACUGGUUGGCCUGAGGUCGAUAUUGAUGAAUUAUGGGAGGAAUUUGUUUCAUUCAGAACACCUGCCUCACUCAAGCUUAUCGAGUGAAUCAGAAAACCAUAAGCUGUUAGUGCAAGCUUUGAGAUAUUGCUGGCAUAACAAAUCCUAACACUCUCCUCUGGGUCAUCAGGAAGCAUGGAAAGCAUAGGGAGAAUAUAUUCGGGAAAAAUUUUGGCAUCACUUGGAGGAAAAUCUCUAACCAAGGGAAGAAUAUCACAUAAAGUCUCUAAUGCAGCACAACGAACAAUUGCAGCUGGAUCCGACAGCAUUGCUAUCACGUGUGGAAGUACCCUCUGCAACCGAUCUUCGUCAUCAAUGUACAAGGAACAAGAGUUCAACAGUAAUACAGCACCUCUUCUCAUAAAAGGCAAUUUCACAUUACGUAUGCAGGAACACAGCAAUGAGGCUAUCAGCACCAUUCCUUCACAGCUCAUUACAUCUUCAGGAAGUGGUAAGAAAGGCAUUCCAAAAGUGUCCGACUGAUUAUCAUAGUCAGACAUCAACACAGUCAAAUCUUCCAUGGUGAUCUUUUUUAAGAACGGAUGGGGACUUCUCUUGAAANUAGUUGUAAUUUUUCUGAGGGGAGGCGAUCACCACUAUCCAUUAUGCUCGAAGGAUCUUGUAUUAAGCCUCCUACCGCUUUCACCUUGGUCGAAUUAUCAUCACAAUCAGCAAAAUCAAUUGGUUUAGUUAAAUCACUAGCAGAUUUAUAACCUGGAAAAUCAUGUUUUCUCCCAGGCCAGUAUUUUAUUCGAUCCAACUCGCUGCUACUUCUGUCAAGUAAAUCUACAGUUUCCCAUUGUUUUGACUGAGGUGGUGAAUUAUACCAUAUCUUUCUUUGUCUCUCCAGCAUAUCUGAACUCUUUGCAUUCUCCACAAGCUGACAGUACAGCUCUUUUGAAACUGAUGGCUUCAGACACGAGAGAAGAGCUUUCUCUGAAGCUAGAGAUGCUGGCUGCCUGCGAAGGAAGGGCCUUAUUACUGGGACAAGAAAAACAUAAGAAUCAACUGCUCCUAAGCUCUCACUGCUGGCAGCAAUAAAGGUGACAGAUGACCUCCUUACCCAUUGGCUAGGGUAGCACAACAAAUGGAAAGAACGGUCUAUCAUUUCAAGUAGGACCCGCUUGCGCAGAAAGCCACUUUUGCAGAGAAUGGCCAAGCAAUCUAGUGCAUUGACAAUUACAGCCUC
rnacentral:lncRNA from 1 species